AGAAUUAAUUUAGGUAUACGUUCAAUGUUUCCAAUGAUGAGCAGUUAAUCCACUAAACCCAGAGAUAAUUCCUGAGGCAUGUUUAAAGAGUUUUGUAUUUCAUCAAGAAGGUGCUGCUGAUUCACAAAGAUUUUAUAUUUAAGAAAAUCUGAGCAUCAUUCCAAAUAACUGUUAACAUGUUUGUCAACUAAACAUGUUUUGUAAACGUAAUAAACUUUAUAAAAAUAUUUUUUAUUUUUUAUUAAUAAUCAAGUAUAAAGAACAAUGCAUAGUGUGAAAACGCGGAUUAUAAAAAGUAUAUUAAAGAAAAGGACUACAUUUCCCAGAAUGCACCUGCACCUACUCAUCUGCCCCCACCCUUCAGGUGCGACUGCUCAACCUAUGGGCUUGACGGGAAAAUUCAAAAUCGCGAACCGUUACUGCCUGGUCUACUCCGUCUCUUGUUUGUUUGUUUGCUCAUUAACAGUAAGAGGUCAUGUACACUGUGGUCAACUUUGUGGACGAUGAAGAGGUUUCUGGGUAAAGCUGAUAGAAAUAUAAUGAAGUAACAGUGAAAGCUAAAACAUCAGACUGAUCCAGACACUGAAGAAAUUGAUGUCACUGCAAUCUGGCCAAAAUGAUACAACUAUAUUGAAGUAACCUACUGUAAUGAAGCUGCAGAACAACACAGAGACUCUGAGGACAUCAACACAGAAAAUUAAGGCUCCAAAGAGAUGUCUGUCCAGAUGAGGGUGCAUCAACGUUACCUUUGCUGACAAGUAUAUGCUUUACAAUGUAAAACCUAACAGUUAACUUAACUCAAACCAUUUAAGGAAAUCGGUUGCCUUAACCCAUUAAGUUUAAAA